CCCAGCCAAUCAAAUACUCGAAACACAAGAACAACAAGAGAGUGGCUCUGACCAUAGCUGUUGUUUGGAUAGUGUCGGCUGCCAUUGGUUCCCCUAUAGUGUUAGGCUUAAACACAACUCCCGAGAGGAUUCCACAACUCUGUAUAUUUUAUAACUCUGAUUUCAUUAUUUAUUCUUCACUCAGCUCAUUUUAUAUUCCCUGUCUUGUUAUGAUAUUUCUCUAUUACAAGAUAUUUAAAGCCAUCCAUGAAAGAGCCAAGAAAAGCAUAGGCAAGAGACUUCCCACAUCUACCGAUACCAAACCGGGCAUUGUUAUCGAAAAUGCUUCACAAACACAGUGGCAACAAGAGACAGCCCUUAUCUCUUCUUCAACCUCAGAAGUCGCGUAUCAGAACAAACUGAAACUUCUGCAGGUCGUCCAAACGGACGAUGUCACCAACACCGGAAGCGGAAGUCAAUACGAUGAAGACUAUGAGGAAGACACUAAAGGUGGUGACAAUGAUGAUGGCGAAAAUGAGAAUGAUGAUCGCUGUCAGAUUAUCGAAAAUAAGAAAACAACUGACUUUAUUUUGAGUGACGUGUCCAAGACAGUCGAAGAAAAUACAGAGAAAAACGGAAAUGCAGAUUCCAAGGUAAAGGAAACGGAGUUUUGUAUCCAGAACCCACUCACCAGGACUUUAAAGGAGUCCAGAACGACAACGUCUUCUGCUUUCUCUCCCAAAAACGGAAGAGAAAAUAAAAUUCUGUCUUUAGCUUCUGGUAGUAAUAGCGGUAAUCACUCGAUGGCUUACUUGAACGUGCCAAAGAAGAAAUCAAGAUUUAAUCUUGGACGGAAGCAUAAAAGCAGUCGUAAAAAACGAGAAAAGGCUUACGCAAAAAGAGAACGAAAAGCCACAAAGACCCUAGCUAUAGUAUUAGGUGUCUUUUUAAUCUGCUGGGUACCGUUCUUCACGUGUAACAUCAUGGACGCCAUCUGCAUCAAGCUACACAGCGCCGACUGUCGGCCUGGUGUAACAGUUUUCCUCCUUACUACCUGGCUGGGCUACAUCAACAGUUGUGUUAAUCCAGUCAUCUACACCAUAUACAACACCGAGUUCCGGAGAUCGUUCAAAAAAAUUUUGAUAGAACCUUGUAAAUGAGGUAGAUUCGACAAGUUCGACGCAACUAUUGACGUCAUAUUGAGUAUUAGAAACGUAUUAUAAAAAUCAACCCCUGUCGGUACAAUAUUGAACUCUUAUUAGAUCCUCUCCGGUGGUUUUUUGUAAAUGUUAUUUGUCUCUUUACAGUUACGAGUUAAAAACGUUGAGUUUCAGCGUAUUUUUUUACCAUUAGCUUUAAGUCCAAAACCUUUCUAGUGCUAUUUAUUUCGAAACGAUUUUUUCGGUCGGCCGUAUUGUGUGGGCUGUUUCUUGACGAAAUGAUGUUGCCUGGAUGAAAUUAAAUACUCGAGUUAGAAGUUAUAAAUAAAUCUAUGACAAUACUAGGUGACUACUAUAAACACGGGUUAUUUAGUAAGAGACGCUUUAAUCUUGAAUGGUUGGGAGUGGUCACACUGUGAAGUUAGGGGUAAGAGACGCUUUAAUUAUGAGUGGUUGGGAGUGGUCACACUGUGAAGUUAGGGGUAAGAAAAGAUUAAAGCGUUAACUUCACAGUGUGACCACUCCCAACCAUUCGGGAACAUCAGACACGAGGAGUAGUUCGUUAAAGUAUACUUAUAUUUCGACCUUUAGCCGGUCAGUGGUCAGUACCUAUUUAUUUGUACAUAAUUUCAAACAUAUCGUAAGUAAAUCAUUUGAUCUUCCAGUGACGAAAUGUCUAGAUCAGUGUUUCUCAACAGGGGUGCCGCGAGAUUUUAGCAAAAUAUUGUAAAAAAAAACAAACAAACAAAUCAAUUACAACGUCACAUAUUUGAAACGUUUUUAUGUAUCUGAUUUUUCUUUUCUACAUCUAUUCGUCUCUAUGACCUUCCUCCCACCUCUUGGCUACGUCACUGUUAACUAGGCUAUAAUACGUUUAGUGUGCCGUGGAAAUGUUCACAGGAGCAGAUCAAAAGUAAUGUUCACAGGAGUGCAGAUCAAAAGUAACGUUCACAGGGGUGCAGGUCAAAAGUAACGUUCACAAGAGUGCAGAUCAAAAGCAACGUUCACAGGAGUGCAGGUCAAAAGUAACGUUCACAGAAGUGCAGGUCAAAAGUAACGUUCACAGGAGUGCAGGUCAAAAGUAACGUUCACAGUAGUGCAGAUCAAAAGUAACGUUCACAGGAGGGCCGAUCAAAAGUAACGUUCACAGUAGUGCAGGUCAAAAGCAACGUUCACAGGAGUGCACGUCAAAAAUAACGUUCACAGAAGUGCACGUCAAAAGUAACGUUCACAGGAGUGCGGGUCAAAAGUAACGUUCACGAGAGUGCGGGUCAAAAGUAACGUUCACAAAAGUGCGGGUCAAGAGUAACGUUCACAGGAGUGCCGAUCAAAAGUAACGUUCACAGGAGUGCCGAUCAAAAGUAACGUUCACAGGAGUGCCGAUCAAAAGUAACGUUCACAGGAGUGCAGUUAAAAUUUUUAUAAUCCCCGUAUAAAAUGAAAGCCCGUGUUUUCUCAUGUUGGUGUGGUUGAUAAAUGUGAUGUUACAUUUAACGUUCUUCGUGUUGAUCCAAAUGUUAUUUAUAUACGUUAUACAUAUAACAUUUAUAUAUGUUACAUCUACAGUGUACCAAACUCAUAUCAGAAACUAAGUGUGAAAUACGUUCUGGGAAGCCUUUGAAUUCUCUCUCUUCCAGAUCACACUUUGGAAAUCUGGAAGUUUUAGUUAAAAUCAAGAGAAGGUUCUACGCUACCUUGUGGUACCUUAACGAUUACUUCAUGGUAAGGUUAUUUACCAUCGUAUGAAGAAGGUAAUCUCCAAGUGAUGAGUCGACUUUAUAAUUUCAACAUAUAUAUAUAUAUAUCAAACUUCACGCUAUUAUAGUGGGGGUCAUCAGAAUUCUAAUAAGGUGAGUCUAAUGUCCUGGAGGGGAUAAAUCACUGGUAACAGGAUGAACAUGCCAAUCAAAGUGUUAGUGAAAGACUGUGAUUUUUAUGGUAAAUCCGAAGUUUCAUAGUCAUGCAUGUUGUUGUUGUUGUUGUUUUUCUUACAUCUUGACAAAAAGUUCCCACCCACGAAAAUACAUUUUUGACAGACCAUAAGUGGCUCUAAUAUUAUAGUAUUACGAAAUGCUUAAAAGCCACUAAAAGUACAAU